rnacentral:tRNA from 1 species
GGGGGUAUAGUGUAGUGGUAACACGGCGGAUUCCAAACCCGCAACUCGAGGUUCGAUUCCUUGUACCCCUGCCA